CGUAACAAGGUCUCCGUAGGUGAACCUGCGGAGGGAUCAUUACACAAAUAUGAAGGCGGGCUGGAACCUCUCGGGGUUACAGCCUUGCUGAAUUAUUCACCCUUGUCUUUUGCGUACUUCUUGUUUCCUUGGUGGGUUCGCCCACCACUAGGACAAACAUAAACCUUUUGUAAUUGCAAUCAGCGUCAGUAACAAAUUAAUAAUUACAACUUUCAACAACGGAUCUCUUGGUUCUGGCAUCGAUGAAGAACGCAGCGAAAUGCGAUAAGUAGUGUGAAUUGCAGAAUUCAGUGAAUCAUCGAAUAUUUGAACGCACAUUGCGCCCUUUGGUAUUCCAAAGGGCAUGCCUGUUCGAGCGUCAUUUGUACCCUCAAGCUUUGCUUGGUGUUGGGCGUCUUGUCUCUAGCUUUGCUGGAGACUCGCCUUAAAGUAAUUGGCAGCCGGCCUACUGGUUUCGGAGCGCAGCACAAGUCGCACUCUCUAUCAGCAAAGGUCUAGCAUCCAUUAAGCCUUUUUUUUCAACUUUUGACCUCGGAUCAGGUAGGGAUACCCGCUGAACUUAAGCAUAUCA
rnacentral:rRNA from 1 species